UGCUCAGAACGGACGCUGGCGACGUGGCUAAGACAUGCAAGUCGAACGGACUGGUCAAUUUAUUGAACAGUUAGUGGCGAAAGGGUUAGUAACGGGUAGGUAACGUGCCCUGUGCUUCGGGAUAGCGUCAGUCCCUUCGGGGACUUUCCGAAAGGGGCGGUAAUACCGGAUAAUAUCAUUUGUUGAUAGGCAGAUGAUCAAAGAUUUAUCGGCGCGGGAGCGGCCUGCCUCCUAUCAGCUUGUUGGUGGGGUAACGGCUCACCAAGGCAACGACGGGUAGCGGGACUGAGAGGUUGACCCGCAACAUCGGGACUGAGACACUGCCCGGACCUCCACGGAGGGCUGCAGUAACGGAUAUUGUGCAAUGGGCGAAAGCCUGACACAGCGACGCCGCGUGUAGGAGGAAGUCCCUCGGGAUGUAAACUACUGUCAGGGGUAAGAAAGUGCGCUCCGGCGUAUUGAUCUAACCCAGAGGAAGUCACGGCUAACUUCGUGCCAGCAGCCGCGGUAAGACGAAGGUGGCAAGCGUUGUUCGGUAUUACUGGGCUUAAAGCGUGUGUAGGCGGAAAAGUAAGCGUCUUGUGAAAGCCCCCGGCUUAACCGGGGAAUUGCGUGACGAACUGCUUUUCUUGAGGCAAGUAGGGGUGCAUGGAACUCUUGGUGGAGCGGUGGAAUGCGUAGAUAUCAAGAGGAACGCCAGUGGAGAAAUCGGUGCACUGGGCUUGUCCUGACGCUGAGACACGAAAGCGUGGGGAGCGAACGGGAUUAGAUACCCCGGUAGUCCACGCCGUAAACGAUGCCUACUAGGUUGUGGUGGUUCUGACACCAGCACAGCCGAAGCAAAAGUGCUAAGUAGGCCGCCUGGGGAGUACGGUCGCAAGGCUAAAACUCAAAGGAAUUGACGGGGGCUCACACAAGCGGUGGAGCAUGUGGAUUAAUUCGAAUCAACGCGUAGAACCUUACCUGGGUUUGACAUGCUUGGAUGCUUGCCUGGAAACAGGUAGUUACCUUCGGGUGAAACUUGCACAGGUGCUGCAUGGCUGUCGUCAGCUCGUGUCGUGAGAUGUCGGGUUAAGUCCUUUAACGAGCGAAACCCUUACCGUUAGUUGCCAGCGGGUCAUGCCGGGGAUCUAGCGGGACUGCCGGUGUCAAACCGGAGGAAGGCGGGGACGACGUCAAGUCAUCAUGGCCUUUAUGCCCAGGGCCUCACACGUGCUACAAUGGCGAUCACAAAGCGACGCAAGACCGCGAGGUGGAGCAAAUCGCAUAAAGGUCGCCCCAGUUCGGAUUGUAGGCUGGCAACUCGCCUGCAUGAAGUCGGAAUCGCUAGUAAUCGCGUAUCAGCUAUGACGCGGUGAAUGUGUUCCCGAGCCUUGUACACACCGCCCGUCAAGUGAUGGGAGUUGGGAGUACCCGAAGUCGGUUUGCUAACCUAAUUUAUUAGGAAGCGGCUGCCGACGGUAAGCCCGAUGACUGGCACUAAGUCGUAACAAGGUA
rnacentral:rRNA from 1 species